rnacentral:rRNA from 1 species
GACGAACGCUGGCGGCGUGCUUAACACAUGCAAGUCGAACGGAAAGGCCCUGCUUUUGUGGGGUGCUCGAGUGGCGAACGGGUGAGUAACACGUGAGUAACCUGCCCUUGACUUUGUGAUAACUUCAGGAAACUGGGGCUAAUACCGGAUAGGAGCUCCUGCUGCAUGGUGGGGGUUGGAAAGUUUCGGCGGUUGGGGAUGGACUCGCGGCUUAUCAGCUUGUUGGUGGGGUAGUGGCUUACCAAGGCUUUGACGGGUAGCCGGCCUGAGAGGGCGACCGGCCACAUUAGGACUGAGAUACGGACCAGACGCCUACGGGAGGCAGCAGGGGGGAAUAUUGCACAGUGGGGGGGAGCCUGAUGCGGCAACGCCGCGUGCGGGAUGACGGCCUUCGGGUUGUAAACCGCUUUCGCCUGUGACGAAGCGGGAGUGACGGUAAUGGGUAAAGAAGCACCGGCUAACUACGUG